rnacentral:SRP_RNA from 1 species
ACCAGGAAUGGUGGCACACCCCUGUAAUCUCCGCUGUGGAGGAUGCUGAGGCUGGCAGAUCUCUUGAGCUCAGGAGUUCUGACCUGGAGUUCACUAGGCUAAUCAGUUGUCACUGAGUCUAGCACCAAUAUGGUGAGCCCCUAGAGAGGGACAGGGGUACACCAGAUUAUUUAAGGAAGGGUGAAAGAGCCCAGGUCAGAAAUGGAGCAAGUCAAAGUUCCCAUGUUAAGCAGCAGUGGAAUCAAGCACAUGAGUUAUCAUUGAAAUUCUAGCCUGGGAGAGUUAGGGACUCAGA